rnacentral:rRNA from 1 species
UAUCCUGUCUGAAUAUGGGGGGACCAUCCUCCAAGGCUAAAUACUCCUGACUGACCGAUAGUGAACCAGUACCGUGAGGGAAAGGCGAAAAGAACCCCGGCGAGGGGAGUGAAAAAGAACCUGAAACCGUGUACGUACAAGCAGUGGGAGCCCCACCACCAAAGCAUUUGCUGUACCGCGUUGACGGAGCGAAGCGACGUCAAACCGAUAAAACAGCAGUGUAAAGUGAGCCGCAGGGCGCUUUGCGCGACAGCGCAAAGGCAGGCGGUUUCGCGUAGCGAAAGCGAAUGCUUUGGGGUGGGGUGACUGCGUACCUUUUGUAUAAUGGGUCAGCGACUUAUAUUCUGUAGCAAGGUUAACCGAAUAGGGGAGCCGGAGGGAAACCGAGUCUUAAUUGGGCGUUAAGUUGCAGGGUAUAGACCCGAAACCCGGUGAUCUAGCCAUGGGCAGGUUGAAGGUUGGGUAACACUAACUGGAGGACCGAACCGACUAAUGUUGAAAAAUUAGCGGAUGACCUGUGGCUGGGGGUGAAAGGCCAAUCAAACCGGGAGAUAGCUGGUUCUCCCCGAAAGCUAUUUAGGUAGCGCCUCGUGAAUUCAUCUCCGGGGGUAGAGCACUGUUUCGGCUAGGGGGCCAUCCCGGCUUACCAACCCGAUGCAAACUGCGAAUACCGGAGAAUGUUAUCACGGGAGACACACGGCGGGUGCUAACGUCCGUCGUGAAGAGGGAAACAACCCAGACCGCCAGCUAAGGUCCCAAAGUCAUGGUUAAGUGGGAAACGAUGUGGGAAGGCCCAGACAGCCAGGAUGUUGGCUUAGAAGCAGCCAUCAUUUAAAGAAAGCGUAAUAGCUCACUGGUCGAGUCGGCCUGCGCGGAAGAUGUAACGGGGCUAAACCAUGCACCGAAGCUGCGGCAGCGACACUGUGUGUUGUUGGGUAGGGGAGCGUUCUGUAAGCCUGUGAAGGUGUGUCGUGAGGCAUGCUGGAGGUAUCAGAAGUGCGAAUGCUGACAUAAGUAACGAUAAAGCGGGUGAAAAGCCCGCUCGCCGGAAGACCAAGGGUUCCUGUCCAACGUUAAUCGGGGCAGGGUGAGUCGACCCCUAAGGCGAGGCCGAAAGGCGUAGUCGAUGGGAAACGGGUUAAUAUUCCCGUACUUGGUGUUACUGCGAAGGGGGGACGGAGAAGGCUAUGUUGGCCGGGCGACGGUUGUCCCGGUUUAAGCGUGUAGGUGUGUGUUCCAGGUAAAUCCGGUUCACUUUAACACUGAGGCGUGACGACGAGGCACUACGGUGCUGAAGCAACAAAUGCCCUGCUUCCAGGAAAAGCCUCUAAGCAUCAGGUAACAUCAAAUCGUACCCCAAACCGACACAGGUGGUCAGGUAGAGAAUACCAAGGCGCUUGAGAGAACUCGGGUGAAGGAACUAGGCAAAAUGGUGCCGUAACUUCGGGAGAAGGCACGCUGACACGUAGGUGAAGUGAUUUACUCAUGGAGCUGAAGUCAGUCGAAGAUACCAGCUGGCUGCAACUGUUUAUUAAAAACACAGCACUGUGCAAACACGAAAGUGGACGUAUACGGUGUGACGCCUGCCCGGUGCCGGAAGGUUAAUUGAUGGGGUCAGCGCAAGCGAAGCUCCUGAUCGAAGCCCCGGUAAACGGCGGCCGUAACUAUAACGGUCCUAAGGUAGCGAAAUUCCUUGUCGGGUAAGUUCCGACCUGCACGAAUGGCGUAAUGAUGGCCAGGCUGUCUCCACCCGAGACUCAGUGAAAUUGAACUCGCUGUGAAGAUGCAGUGUACCCGCGGCAAGACGGAAAGACCCCGUGAACCUUUACUAUAGCUUGACACUGAACAUUGAGCCUUGAUGUGUAGGAUAGGUGGGAGGCUUUGAAGUGUGGACGCCAGUCUGCAUGGAGCCGACCUUGAAAUACCACCCUUUAAUGUUUGAUGUUCUAACGUGGACCCGUUACCCGGGUUGCGGACAGUGUCUGGUGGGUAGUUUGACUGGGGCGGUCUCCUCCUAAAGAGUAACGGAGGAGCACG